CAGCCGCGGUAAUUCCAGCUCCAAUAGCGUAUAUUAAAGUUGUUGCAGUUAAAAAGCUCGUAGUUGAAUUUCGGGAUCAAAGAAUCGGUCAUGCUUUGGUAUGUACUGGUUUUAUUGGUUCUCACCUUCUAAAGAACCAUAAUGUCAUUUAUUUGAUGUUAUGGGGAAUUAGGACUGUUACCUUGAAAAAAUUAGAGUGUUUAAAGCAAGCUUACGCUUGAAUACAUUAGCAUGGAAUAAUGAAAUAGGACAUCCGAUUCUAUUUUGUUGGUUUUCUAGGAUCGAUGUAAUGAUUAAUAGGGAUAGUUGGGGGCAUUAGUAUUCAAUUGUCAGAGGUGAAAUUCUUGGAUUUAUUGAAGACUAACUACUGCGAAAGCAUUUGCCAAGGAUGUUUCAUUAAUCAAGAACGAAAGUUAGGGGAUCGAAGACGAUCAGAUACCGUCGUAGUCUUAACCAUAAACUAUGCCGACUAGGGAUCGGAUGAUGUUAAUUUUAUAAUGACUCAUUUGGCACCUUACGGGAAAC
rnacentral:rRNA from 1 species